GAUGAGCGCUGGCGGCGUGCUUAACACAUGCAAGUCGAACGGAAAGGCUCCUGCUUGCAGGGGUACUCGAGUGGCGAACGGGUGAGUAACACGUGGGUGAUCUGCCCUGCACUUCGGGAUAAGCCUGGGAACCUGGGUCUAAUACCGGAUAGGACGAUGGUUUGGAUGCCAUUGUGGAAAGUUUUUCGGUGUGGGAUGAGCUCGCGGCCUAUCAGCUUGUUGGUGGGGUAAUGGCCUACCAAGGCGUCGACGGGUAGCCGGCCUGAGAGGGUGUACGGCCACAUUGGGACUGAGAUACGGCCCAGACUCCUACGGGAGGCAGCAGUGGGGAAUAUUGCACAAUGGGCGCAAGCCUGAUGCAGCGACGCCGCGUGGGGGAUGACGGCCUUCGGGUUGUAAACUCCUUUCGCUAGGGACGAAGCGCAAGUGACGGUACCUGGAGAAGAAGCACCGGCUAACUACGUG
rnacentral:rRNA from 1 species